AGCUCAGUUGGUAGAGCGUCUGCCUUACAAGCAGAAUGUCGGCGGUUCGAUCCCGUCA
rnacentral:tRNA from 2 species